UCACACACACAGAGUCACAGACUAGGUUACAGCACAUACCAAGUUGUACUCCAACCAAAUAAUUUUUUUUUUAAAAAAAAACAACCUAACUUACAAAUUUAAAAAUAAACAAUAAAAAGCAUCUAACAAUUAAUAAUUAAAGGUUAUUCAAAGACAAAUGAUAACCCCAUGUACAAACAAUCAAUCAUCAUAAGUGCGGCGCUCAUCCUUCUCCGGGUAUCGAACCUGGAAUUUAAUUUGGAGUGUCCGUGUCGCUGCUCGUUACGUCUUCUAAAGGAUUCUUCUAGGUGUUGACGAGUCCAUAUAACAUAGAUGUCAAGUAUUACUCAUUAUUUGGUGGUUUUGGAUUUAGGUUAUUUAAUUGUGUAUUUUUAUUGAAUCCUAUGAGAUGGUUUUUUUUAUAUUACCAUCAAUACUAUUAUGAUUUAAGGUUUUCUGAUGUUGUUCUCGAAAGAAAGAAUUUGUGCUAUAUAUUUUAUACCCUCCAUAAAAAUAAAAAUUGUAUGUUUUGACUUUUUAUAGUUAAUUUGUGAAAUCCUAAAAUUAAAUAUUGAUAUUAAUUCAUUUGAUAUCGAUUAAUACAAUUUUUAUUACUAUAAACUAACUAAAAAUUACUAUUAAUUACAAUAUUUGUUGUUUUCAAAAGUUAUAUGCACCACAUUAAUUUAAUUUUAUAAUUUGUGAAGAAUUAACGUCUAAAAGUCAAAAUGGGACUCUUUGCAUGGAAUGAAGGUAGAAAUAUUUUUUUCUCUACUAGAGUUGUACCAGUACACAUUAUAGACUACCUUAGAUUUGUUUCACUUUUAACCAUUUUGUCAUUUAUAAACUAUCAUUUCAUAUUAACUUGAACCUGAAUAGUCCAGGUGGAGUAAAAGUAUUUGGAGUUUGUUGGCAGAGUCGUGGAUUGUCUUGAUUUGUGCUGAAACUCUAGCAGGGAGAAGUUUGUGUAUUACAUGAUUAUGUUGGAUAAUUCUAUGCAGUGUUUUAAAUUACAAUUGUUUUCACUGCCACUUUUGCCACUACUUCGAUUUCCACCUACAGUUGGUUUUAUGGCGGAAUAAUCUUAAAAAAUAAUUAGAGAUAUGGCUCAAGAGGGUGGAAGGAUGAUUGUUAGCCUUAUCGUGGUAAUGGGUUUUUUCGUUCUGGAGAUGUCUUUUGGAAAGUUUGUGCAACUAAUUAUGGUGUUUGGGUGUGAAGUUGAGUGAGGACGAGGGGGGAAAUAUACACACCCACGCGUUAUUUUGGUGCAGAAUUAGGAUGCUCUCUCUCUCACACACAUUAGAAAUCUAGAAGUGAAUGAUUUGCUGAGAAUUUCUACAUAUGAAUAAGCAUGCUUAUAAGUAAUGCAUUAAUGGAUUCUUUUUAUAGGUUCCCUUGUAUGUGGCGACAAAGAUGGCAUCAAUCAAAAGAUCUUCCUUCUUCGUUCCAUCAACCGAUGGUUAUGCUCAGGCUACCUUACGCUGGAUAGGCUAUGAGCCACGAUGCACAACUUACUGGCCCCACAAUAUCUUGUGGGCUUUGCUGUACUUAUUACCCAAGUCUGCUGUUGAUGCAUGGCGCCUGCGCUUCUGCCUUGCUUUGUGUGUAUUUUCAAUCACGAUUUUUUGUAUCAACACUUAACAGAUGAUAUUGCAAAAUAGAAAAAGUUGUGAACCUUUAUAUCUUAUUAUUUUUUUCCCUUGAAGCCAAAUGGGACUCCCAUUUUUGGCAGAGGAGUUCUAUUGAACUUAAGUUUCUUAUUAUUUGAUAUUCAUGCUCAUUUAAAUUUUGAUUUUGCUUUGCAGAUCAUUAUGGACCACCUAAGGUUAACCUUUGGGAGGACCCAUUGAGCCCAUCUAGAUGGAAAGAAGAGCAUGUGAGUUUACCUUUCAUUCUAUCAUAGUAUUGCAAUUUAGCCCAGUCUUCCCUUAUGGGUUGUCCUGAAGUUGUUUGGUCUUGUGUGGAUGUUUCUAACUUUUCCUGUGAGUUUUCACUUUGAUUUGUGCUUAUCUGUAACUUAAUUAGAUGUAUGUAUGUAUAUAUAUAUAUAUAUAGAGAGAGAGAGAGAGAGAUAAUUUUGUCUUUCUGUUCCAGCCAAUGUCUUUUCUGCCAUCUUCCUGGUCUUUGCUAAGUUAUUGUUUUUAAUCUUCUUCUCUCUACGGGUCAAAUUUUACUAUUAACUUCUCCUGUAGAACUUCUUUAUAUAAGUAAAUCCUCUCCAAUUAACUACAUAUGGGUGCUUUUCUAGCUGCUGAAAAUGAACUAUAAUAUGAAAUUACGUUCCCUUCACAAUAUGGCACGUUAGUGGAAUAAUUGUGCAUCACCCUCUUACAAAUAUAGGAAAGACAUCACCAGCAAUCAAAUAGAUAUGCUCUCUGUUUCUUCAACUAUCUGCAACUCUUUCCGGAAUUUGUUUCUUCAGCAAUCAAAUAGAUAUUUUUGGUGCUAUGAGAUAAUAUUGGUAGAUGAAUCUACUUUUAAAGUUAGGAAAUUAGUUGUUAGAAGUAUUUCUAGCAAAAAUGAUGAUUUUGUGAAGAUGUGAAGUAUUUUAAAGGAGGCAUUAUUAUUAUCCAAAGGAACCUAAACCUGCAGGAACAUGUGACCUUCUAGAUUCGAUUGCCUAAUUGUGUUUGUUUUUUUUAAAAACCAUUUUAGGUAUUUCUUAAAAAUUAUCAAAAAUGCCAACAUAACUAUUCUUUUUAACUUAGUUGUUUCAACUUCCAAUAUUUUUAGGAAAUUUUUAUUCAUGUUUGUUUAAUAACUAGAAUGGUUUCUCUCUGUCUCUCUUUUGUCCUUUUUGGGUGGUGGGGGAUGGGGGAUGGGGGAGUGAAUAACAUUUCUAAGUAGGGAUUAUCUGGGAAAAUAAAACAUGAAUCUCAUUAGGAAUUUUACUUUCGAUCAUAUUCGGUCUUAGUGUUGAGUUAAUCUCCAGAUUUUAGAGAGUUAGUUUUCAACGACUAUUCAACAUAAUCAGGUUGGCUUUUAAUCCCAGUUGCUUCAGAUAUAUGUAAGAAUUGUAAUAGCUUAGGUUCACAUAACCUUCAAAGUAAAAAAUAAAUAAAAUAAAAAUAAGAUGUUUACUAUGAAUUUGGACAUUAGUGAGAAAAAAUUAAAUAAGGAAGAAGAUAAUGCCAUUUGUGUUAUCAUUAAUGUAUUUUAUAUAGAUAAUGUAUUAGUUACGUUAAAAUAAUGUAUUAAAAUAUUAUAUCUAUUGAUAUAAUAAUAUUUUAAUUUUAUUGUAGGGUGGGCAAAAGGAAUUUAAUUAAAUGGAUAAAGUCAAGAGUUACCUAAUAGUCGGUAAGUUAGCUGCGCUUGAAUUCCAUUUAAUUGUUUUUUAGAACAUAAUUAAGGAGAUCAAUUCCAUUUAAUUGUUGAGCCGCAUGCCUUUGUUGGGGUUAAAAAAAAUACUCCGUACAUUUGAUUAAUAACGAUUCAUUUCUUUAAAAGGUUUCCUAACAAAUCAUAGUAAUAAACUGUUUUGUGAGGUCUCAUUAAGAGAUUCCUUCUUACUUUAAACGUUGCUCUAAGAAUCUGGUUAGUUUCACAUAUGUUGGUUGUUGUGGAAUCUUUUUCCUUUCCAUCAUAAAUUUGUUUUGGCUUUUAUCUGUGGAUCCUUUUGAAGAUAAAGUCACAAGUUCUAGAGAUUUAGAUUUACUACAGAAUUGUAAAAGGAUGUCUCUCUCAGUCCCAAAUGAUAGCCCACUUACAAAAUGUACCAAAUAAUAUUUAAUUUGUGAUAUUGGACAUUGAUUGUGUCCCAGUCAAUUUUUAUGGUUAACUUUUUAUAUAUAUAUAUAAAAAACGUAGACUAUCUUUCCGGGAUGGAUGAACUGAGUAUACUGAUUACAUAAACUUGCUUAUAAUAACCUGCUCAUGAUCCAAGUAAAAGUUGUUUGAAUUGUCCACAUCAUCAGUGAUGUCUGACUAUCUUUCUUCAUGUACAGGUGUUAUUUCUAAUGUACCAUUAUUUUGUUGCAUCAGAAAUUUAUAAUGCUAUUCGAAUUUUUAUUGCUGCAUAUAUGUGGAUGACUACAUUUGGAAACUUUUCAUAUAUUAUUAAAUCCACAAAGAUAUCAGCCUUGCAAGGUUUGCUCAGGUACAUAGUUUCUUUUUAGACCUUUAGAUUUUAUUCCAAGUUCUCUCCUUUUAUGCUUCUGGUGGCAUCACUUCUCUUUUGCAGAUGAUGUGGAGGCUUAACAAUAUUUACACGCUAUACUACAUAUACCUCAUGCACACUCUUUUCACACUGAGAAGCAAUAGUCACAUACUUAGAAUGUAAUAUACAAACCGACAAUAAUCACAUACUUAAAGUGUAAUGCACAAAUUGAUAAACUCUCACCACUAUCCCCUACAAUGUAUAUUCAUUUGUUUUUGUGUAAAAUUUGAUCAUCGCACAAUAAUUUACCAUCUUUUUAUUAUAUUUUAAUUUAUUAAUUAUACAUACAUAUUUAUUAUUAAAAAAUUGAAUAACGCAGGUUUAUAUCUAGUAGUUAACUAAAAAUAAGGAAGUAUUGUGUAUAUACCGAGAGAGAUAUCACACACACAUAGUCACAGACUAGGUUACAGCACAUACCAAGUUGUACUCCAACCAAAUAAUUUUUUUUUUAAAACAAAAAAUCUAACUUACAAAUUUAAAAAUAAACAAUAAAAAGCAUCUAACAAUUAAUAAUUAAAGUUUAUUCAAAGACAAAUGAUAACCCCAUGUCCCAACAAUCAAUCAUCAUAAGUGCGGCACUCAUCCGUCUCCGGGUUAUCCUUGCAGUACUCCUCCAACGGGUCGGAGCCCUUCUUCUUGUCCUUCAAAUGGCUAGCCGCUGCACUCAGCUCCUCCACCUCGUCCCACGACGCCGCGCAGUCUCCGCUUUCCGGGUCCCCUGCACAUGCCUCCUCCGCUUGCUUGAUGCUCUCCGCCAGCUUAUCCGAUAGAUCCGGUGCUACUGCCACGGGUCGAACAACCAUGCGACCCGCUCCGAAUCGGGUGGACCUCUUCCACGGCUGGUUCAGCCAUGGAGACGACCUAAUGGAUUGGAAAUUUGGUGAGUCUGAUGAGGCGUUGGCCAGUACUCUAGGGGUUGAUAGGCUAACACCAGCUAUUGUUGCAGACAUUUUUAUUGCCCUUUUUGUGAUUGUUUGUUAGGCUUAUUAGAGCAUACGAAAUACUAAAAAUAAGAGCAGCAUUUGGCAAAUAUAAUUGGGAGUGUAUUGAUUUGUGAGCAUUUAUUUCUUAUCACUUUAUCUACCAAUCAUGGACAUCCACGUUAGUCCAAUUUAAAGAUAUUGUUAUGAAAAUAUCUUCUUUUUUCUUUUCUUGUACUCAUUGAAUAUAUUCAAAAUAAAAGUAAUUUGAAUCUUGAUACGUGGAAUUAUAAUUAUAAAAUUUAUUUAUAUAUGAGAUUAAUAGAAAUUAUGAGAAGAUCUCAUUUAUUAUAUAUAUUUCUCUGAAAAUAAUAUCACUAACAUUUAUUCACAUAAUCGAUAAUUAAAAACUCGAACUAAAUAUUAACAAUAUAUAUAAAAUUCGGAUCUUAAGCUCACCCCUUAUCCAAUUCACUCGAACUCACUCUUUUUUAGCGACACACUCGACGAUGGUUUGGUCAUAUAACCGUUGUCUAUACUUUUAGCGACGGACAACAUAUAGCGUCGCUAAAAGUAUAGACGACGGUUGUAUGACCGAACCGUCGUCGGGUCCGUCGCUAAAGGGAGGUGAGCUCGGGUGAGUUGGAUAAGGAGUGAACUUAAGAUCCGGAUCGUGUGUGUGUGUAUAUAUAUAUAUAUAUAUAUAUAUAUAUAUCUUUUAAAUAACAUACCUCUUUUAAAUAACAUAUUUUUGUUAAAACUACGUCGUUUUGAAGAUUUUUUUUUAAAACAAAAUAAUAUUAAAAGAAAGUGGUCCACCUUUUUUUAUUUAUAAAAAUGCCACCCAUGACCCCACUUAUUUUUUAAAAGAAUCUUUAAAACGGCGUAAUUUUAAUAAAAGUAUGCUAUUUAAGACGGUAUACUAUUUAAGAGGUAUGUUAUUUAACAUGAUAUGCUAUUUAAGAGAUAUGCUUUAGAUCCGUUAUUAUAUAUAUAUAUAUAUCAUAUAUAUAUAUAUAUAUAUCACUUUCCAAAUUUAAAAAUUAUAUUAAGACGCUACUAAUGACACAUAUCUCUUUUACCAGUAAUACUUAUUUAGGUAAUUGAUAAUCAAAAAAUUAACAUAAAUAUUAACAAUAUAUAAUCACUUUCCAACCAGUAUACUCUUAAAUAGCAUGAUAAUUGAUACCAAGUUGAGCAUUCCAACUUUUAAGAAGUUGAAGUUAUGAAAAGCCUUUCUCUUUUUGUCUCUUUCGUUUAACUUUUAUUACUCCAAUUUGAGACACUUUUACAGGUCUCAAUUAAAUAAUACAAUCUAAGUUAUAAUAUCAUUGUUAAUUUUUGAAAGUAAAUUUGAGAUAUUUUUAAAUUCAAAAUUAAAAUGAUUUAUCAAAAAUUCUGAAAUAAUAAAUAUUACAAUAAGCAAUAUGUUUAGACAGUUUACAAUAUUCAUUAUUUGUAGUAACUAAAAUUAAAAAAAUUAAUACAAUUUUGGAUUUGAAAAUAUCUUAAAUUGACAAUAAUUAUCAUAUUUUAAUAUUUUUGGAACGGAGGGAGUAUUAAUAAUUUAAAUUUGAGAAAAUUAUGCUCAAGUGUGUCUCACGCAAACAUCAAAAUUUGUAAAUAAUAAAGAAAAAUAUAUCACAAAAGCAGGACACCUUUUUCUAAUUGAGGUAGAAUAAAUAGUUAUUUUUCUUAUCUUCAGAGGAAGAAUUAUGAGUUUAUAGCUAAGGAUUAUAUACACAGAUGAUCAAAAGAUAAAAAAAAAAAGAGAGAGGAAGAUUUACAGUAUUUGGUAGAAAUUUAUGUUACAGUCCUUUAUCUUCACUCUUGAACUUCAUGGUUCCUGGAAUUUGAUGCUUACUUUGCUUCUCAAUUUCUGUUCACCAUUUAUUCCACAUAUGUCUAGAUUCUUUUCCCUCAUUUCUAUUUUUCCUACUAUGUUUUAAAGACCAGAAGCUUCAUUCUAUAGCAAUUACUCAAAAAAUAAUUUUAAGUCAAGUUUUCCCUCUAAUAUUUGAUCUGAACAAGUGUUGUAACACAUGAAAAUGAAGCUACAAUUCCUCUUGAUGUUUGGCACCCUUGUUCUGAGCUUCACAGGUACAUUUAUCUGACUUGAUUUGCUGCAUUAUACCGAUCUGAUCUUCUUCUUUUUUUCACUUCACAGCUGAAAAAUGCCGUCAAUUAGUAGGUGAAGAGUCUUCUUCCAAGACUUGGACCAAUAGGUUCACAUGCUUCAAUUUCUUUGACAUGAACUAUGGAACCGUAGCAUGCGUUAUCAAAGAACUUUUGAAGCUCUAUCUCUACUACAUCAGAGCAGUUCAUGUACAUAAAGUGAGAGCCGACGAGACUACGGCAGCCAUGUGUGUAGCAUCGUCUGAAGACCAGAGUGUUGAAGAAGCCAUCAAGACUGCUAAAGAAAAGGGAAAUGCAGCUGCGAGCCGUGCAUCUAUAGAGGCAAAGCAUAUUAUGGGUCCUAUUUUAUCAUCAGGGUGGGACUUUUUCGAAACCCUUUAUGUUGGGGGUAGCUUAUUAGAGGGGAUUAUAAGGGGAACGGGUACAUUUUUGGGGGCUUAUGUUGGAGGGAUUAUUGGAGAAGGAAAACUUAGGUGGGUUGGUUUUCUUGUGGGAAGCCAGUUAGGGAGUUGGGUUGGAAGUGGGAUGGGACUGAUGGUAUAUGAUGUGGGAAAAGGAGUGCAAUACUUGCUUCACCUUGUUUCUGGACAAACUAACUCUUAUCCAGUAGUAUCUAUAUAUAAAGAGUUGUAAGCACUGCAUUUGCAUAUUCUGAAAGAUUUGUUGCUAGAGGAUGAAAGGGCAUCAUACAAAAAUAAUGGGGAAAAUGCAGAAUACAACAAUAAAGGCUAUUAGUUUUUUAUUUGUGGCUCCUCAAUAAUUUUUUUUUCUCCGAUAAAUCUUAUUCCCAAUUCAAAUCAGCUAGUGAUAGAUAUUAUAAUUUAGCUUCUAUAUUUUACCAUGUUACAUUUUGGUGACAAUUAGACUGUUAAACAAGAAAGGCUUUAGAACUAGUAACGACUAUCUCCACUAAUAUUGUUAGCAUGGUCAACAAAAGUUCGGUAAGAAAGGCUUGAUCCAAAUAAAUUCAAGAACUGAUAACAUGGCCAACAAAAGUUAGGUAAGAAAGGCUUGAUCCAAAGAAAUUCAAGGAAAAAGAACAACUAAGAGAUAGCUAAAAGUGUAUGAUCUUCAUCAACCAAUAAAAAGAAUUUAGUUAGAUUUAUUAUUUCUUCCUUUCAAGUGUCCAAACUAGGGGCUGCAUUAGAACAUAAGUUCAUGCUUUUAGCAAUCAUGGCCCCUGUUGCUUCUGGAUCCAAAAGAGUUUCUAAAUUCUAAUAUACUUAAAACAUCCAAGAAGCAAAACAUGAGAAAGAAAAGACCAACAAAGUAGCUAGCAUCACAAACUGAGUAUAUGUUUUGUUUUUUAAUAAAUUCAAAGUUACACAUUAGGUACCUUCGAUGACCUACAAGAGCGCUAAUCUAAUAUACUAAAUUUAAACAAGGGCCAUCGCAUCCAUUUCAGACUUGGGCACAAGUUAAGUAGACUACGUUGCAAAUGCCAUUGACCCUGUUUCUACAUUAUAAAGUGGAAAACUCAAAUGAAUUUGAGCAAGUAAUCCCAAAUGAGCAUUCCUCAUCAUACCACUCGAAUUUUGCCACCCAAGGUUUUCCGUUGUUUGAGGUGUGACACCGAGUGAGGAGAUCAAAAUAUGAAUCCUCAAAACAUAGAAAUUCAAACACAUUCAAAGUAACAUAGUAAUAGAAUGAUCUCAUUGAUGAUAAAUCAACCUAAUGAUAUCCAGAAAACUAGUACAUUCAACAGAUUGAAACAAACCAACUUACAUUAUUAAUUGAAAUUCAUAAAUCCCAAAAGACUGUAUAAAUAUAAUUAAGCAAGGACUCCUAAACAAACCAAACUAAUAUCUGACUCCAACAAUAAACAUAACCAUAAACCAACCCAAGCCAUAACUUAAAAACUGCAAUAUAAUUAUAGAUCAGCACUUCAACAUCAUCGAAGAC
rnacentral:lncRNA from 1 species